GACGAACGCUGGCGGCGUGCUUAACACAUGCAAGUGGAGCGACGAACCAGGCUUGCCUGGGGCAAAGCCGCGAACGGGUGAGUAACACGUGGGUAAUCUGCCCCGAUGACCGGGACAACCCGAGGAAGCUCGGGCUAAUACCGGAUGUGGUGCACACACAUAAGUGUGUUCACUAAAGGAAGCUUCGGCCUCCGCAUCGGGAGGCGCCCGCGGCCAAUUAGCUUGUUGGUGGGGUCAUGGCCGACCAAAGCAACGAUGGGUAGCUGGUCUGCGGGGACGAGCAGCCACGAUGGGACUGAGAAACGGCCGAGACUCCGACGGGAGGCAGCAGUGGGGAAUCUUGCGCAAUGCGCGAAAGCGUGACGCAGCAACGCCGCGUGAGGGAAGAAGGCCUUCGGGUUGUAAACCUCUUUCAGGAGGGACGAAGGCCGGCCGGCGAAUAGCCGAGUCGGUUGACGGUACCUCCAGAAGAAGCUCCGGCUAACUACGUGCCAGCCGCCGCGGUAACAC
rnacentral:rRNA from 1 species